GGUGUAGUGGUGUAACAUCGCGGUGCCACGGAAUGGCCCAAGACGCGGGUUCGAAUCCCGCCUGAACCG
rnacentral:tRNA from 1 species